rnacentral:rRNA from 1 species
GACGAACGCUGGCGGCGUGCCUAAUACAUGCAAGUAGAACGCUGAAGGAGGAGCUUGCUUCUCUGGAUGAGUUGCGAACGGGUGAGUAACGCGUAGGUAACCUGCCUGGUAGCGGGGGAUAACUAUUGGAAACGAUAGCUAAUACCGCAUAAUAGCAGUUGUUGCAUGACAACUGUUUGAAAGGUGCAAUUGCACCACUACCAGAUGGACCUGCGUUGUAUUAGCUAGUUGGUGGGGUAACGGCUCACCAAGGCGACGAUACAUAGCCGACCGGAGAGGGGGAUCGGCCAGACUGGGACGGAGACACGGCCCAGACGGCUACGGGAGGCAGCAGUAGGGAAUCUUCGGCAAUGGGCGGAAGUCUGACCGAGCAACGCCGCGGGAGGGAAGAAGGUUUUCGGAUCGUAAAGCUCUGUUGUAAGAGAAGAACGAGUGUGAGAGUGGAAAGUUCACACUGUGACGGUAUCUUACCAGAAAGGGACGGCUAACUACGUG